rnacentral:rRNA from 1 species
UACGUAGGGGGCGAGCGUUGUCCGGAUUUAUUGGGCGUAAAGAGCGUGUAGGCGGUUGUUUAAGUUUGGUGUGAAAUCUCCCGGCUCAACUGGGAGGGUGCGCCGAAUACUGAAUGACUAGAGUGCGGGAGAGGUGAGUGGAAUUCCUGGUGUAGCGGUGAAAUGCGUAGAUAUCAGGAGGAACACCAAUUGCGAAGGCAGCUCGCUGGGACGUUACUGACGCUGAGACGCGAAAGCGUGGGGAGCAAACAGG